rnacentral:rRNA from 1 species
ACUCCUACGGGAGGCUGCAGUAGGGAAUCUUCCACAAUGGACGAAAGUCUGAUGGAGCAACGCCGCGUGAGUGAAGAAGGUUUUCGGAUCGUAAAACUCUGUUGUAAGGGAAGAACACGUACGAGAGUAACUGCUCGUACCUUGACGGUACCUUAUUAGAAAGCCACGGCUAACUACGUGCCAGCAGCCGCGGUAAUACGUAGGUGGCAAGCGUUGUCCGGAAUUAUUGGGCGUAAAGCGCGCGCAGGCGGUUCUUUAAGUCUGAUGUGAAAGCCCACGGCUCAACCGUGGAGGGUCAUUGGAAACUGGAGAACUUGAGUACAGAAGAGGAAAGCGGAAUUCCACGUGUAGCGGUGAAAUGCGUAGAGAUGUGGAGGAACACCAGUGGCGAAGGCGGCUUUCUGGUCUGUAACUGACGCUGAGGCGCGAAAGCGUGGGGAGCAAACAGGAUUAGAUACCCUGGUAGUCCACGCCGUAAACGAUGAGUGCUAAGUGUUAGGGGGUUUCCGCCCCUUAGUGCUGCAGCUAACGCAUUAAGCACUCCG